AGAGUUUGAUCCUGGCUCAGGAUGAACGCUGGCGGCGUGCUUAACACAUGCAAGUCGAACGGGGUUAUCAUUUUUGAAGCGAUUAGCUUGCUAAGAGUGGAAAAGUUGAUAACUUAGUGGCGGACGGGUGAGUAACGCGUGGGUAACCUGCCUUACACAGGGGGAUAACACUUAGAAAUAGGUGCUAAUACCGCAUAAGCGCACAGUCCCGCAUGGGACAGAGUGAAAAACAUUAGUGGUGUAAGAUGGACCCGCGUCUGAUUAGCUUGUUGGCGGGGUAACGGCCCACCAAGGCGACGAUCAGUAGCCGGCCUGAGAGGGUGGACGGCCACAUUGGGACUGAGACACGGCCCAAACUCCUACGGGAGGCAGCAGUGGGGGAUAUUGGACAAUGGGGGAAACCCUGAUCCAGCGACGCCGCGUGAGUGAAGAAGUAUUUCGGUAUGUAAAGCUCUAUCAGCAGGGAAGAAAGAAAUGACGGUACCUGAGUAAGAAGCCCCGGCUAACUACGUGCCAGCAGCCGCGGUAAUACGUAGGGGGCAAGCGUUAUCCGGAAUUACUGGGUGUAAAGGGAGCGUAGACGGUAAUGCAAGUCUGGAGUGAAAGGCGGGGGCCCAACCCCCGGACUGCUCUGGAAACUGUGUAACUGGAGUGC
rnacentral:rRNA from 1 species